AUUGAACGCUGGCGGCAGGCCUAACACAUGCAAGUCGAGCGAGUGGCGGACGGGUGAGUAAUGUAUGGGGAUCUGCCCGAUGGAGGGGGAUAACUACUGGAAACGGUGGCUAAUACCGCAUACUAUCGGAUGAACCCAUAUGGGAUUAGCUAGUAGGUGGGGUAAAGGCUCACCUAGGCGACGAUCCCUAGCUGGUCUGAGAGGAUGAUCAGCCACACUGGAACUGAGACAGGGCCCAGACUCCUACGGGAGGCAGCAGUAGGGAAUAUUGGGCAAUGGACGAAAGUCUGACCGAGCAACGCCGCGGGAGGGAAGAAGGUUUUCGGAUCGUAAAGUACUGUUGGUAGGGAAGCGGUAUCCAAACAGAAAGCAACGGCUAACUACGUGCCAGCAGCCGCGGUAAUAC
rnacentral:rRNA from 1 species